rnacentral:rRNA from 1 species
CCGGCGCACGGGUGAGUAACACGUAUCCAACCUGCCGUCUACUCUUGGACAGCCUUCUGAAAGGAAGAUUAAUACAAGAUGGCAUCACGAGUCCGCAUGUUCACAUGAUUAAAGGUAUUUCGGUAGACGAUGGGGAUGCGUUCCAUUAGAUAGUAGGCGGGGUAACGGCCCACCUAGUCUUCGAUGGAUAGGGGUUCUGAGAGGAAGGUCCCCCACAUUGGAACUGAGACACGGUCCAA